ensembl:lncRNA
CUGGUGACUGAGGAGCUGGUCUUGUCAAAGUGUCUGGGUUUGCUGCUGGCAGAGGGGUCACAACACACAGUUGCUUUGUCUUUCCCUUCUUCACUUCCUGUAGAUGGCUGAACUGCUGCUGUAUCUGUUGAUGCGCUGCUUGUUGCAUUGACUGCUGUUGCUGUGGUUGAUUGAACAUGACACCCUGUAGAUUGGCUCCUGGUGCUCCCAGUGCUGCCAUGUCAUCAGGAGUGUGAAUGUUCUGAACAGGUGUGGUGUCUCUGUCACCCCAUUCACCACCUGUCGCACCAGGUGACUCCUCAUCAUCAGGCCUCUCCACCUCUAUAACCCCACCAGGUGACUCCUCAUCAUCAGGCCUCUCCACCUCUAUAACCCCACCAGGUGACUCCUCAUCAUCAGGCCUCUCCACCUCUAUAACCCCACCAGGUGACUCCUCAUCAUCUGACCUCUCCACCUCUAUAACCCCACCAGGUGACUCCUCAUCAUCAGGCCUCUCCACCUCUAUAACCCCACCAGGUGACUCCUCAUCAUCAGGCUUCUCCAUCACUAGAACCCCACCAGGUGACUCCUCAUCAUCAGGCUUCUCAAUCACUAGAACCCCACCUGGUGACUCCUCAUCAUCAGGCUUCUCCAUCACUAUAACCCCACCAGGUGACUCCUCAUCAUCAGGCUUCUCCAUCACUAGAACCCCACCAGGUGACUCCUCAUCAUCAGGCUUCUCCAUCACUAGAACCCCACCGGGAGGGGAAUCCCACCACCUAAAGUUGGACGGGCUGCAGCAGUCUUCUAAAGUCUGACAGGGGAAACAUAAUAUAGUUUUUACAGUUUCUCAAAGUAAGGUAAAAAAAACAUUGUUAGUGGUUUACCCUCACAAAAAAUAAAAUGAGUGGAUGAUCAACCAACACUAAGAACAGAUCUCAUAUUAGUCACAUGUUGUUCUCCUUACGCUGGCUGUCAGUGGUAUUGUUUUAUA